GGAGUAAAUGUGUUUCUUAUUUUGGAACCUUCUCACAGCAGAUAAGCAAGGCUUGAGCCAAAGUCCUCAGGACACCAAGGGAAGCUGGAACUGUAACACCAUCGCAAGGCUCACAAGCAAGCUGGCAUGGAGAAGGGGACCAGCUACACCUGGUUGAGGAGGAGUCGCGCAGAGUAUGCAGUGCAAUGUGCAUCCCCAGGGCAUUUGGAGGCAAUGAGUAUCAGCAGUCAGUGGAAGCGGUCCAGAUAUACAGCAAUGCAGCUGAACAAUAAUUUCACUCUUGAUGAUGGGGGAGCGAAAAUAGCCUGCAGCAGAUGUGAGGCUCAAUGUGUCAGCUCAACCUCAGGGGCAAGAAAAAGAGAAGUUGAAACUGGUUUCUUCCAUCUGAGAUGGCCACAGGCGAAGAGCAAACACACUUGGUCAAUUACCGUGGCUCAGAUGAUGCAUGGUAUUGCCAUUUUCAGGUCAAAUUUUAGAGUUAGUAGGAACUUUUCCAUGGGCUUUGUACAACAAUAUUCCACUGCGCACAGUGAGAAGUUUGAACACCCUUCGUUUCAGCGUCUAAUUUUGAGAUGAACUUGUAUCUUUCUUAAAAAAACAAAACAACAAGACCACCAAUAGCAAAAGAAAACCACCGGCCCCAAACUUUCACCUUUCUUCUCAGGUAAGACCUGUUUUCUUACUCCACUCUGUGGGAAAACUAAGAAUACGUUAGCUUAUUUCCAACUGUGAUUUGCUAAACUGAAGCUAAAGAUGGAAGAAUUCCAAACCUAGCAGUCUGGACCCUCUCAAACUAUGACUGGGGCCAGGGAAACAAGGUACCAGACAUCAAAACUUUGGAUGCUUUUUUUCUUUUCAUGUAGUAACUGAAACUCAGUUCAUCUUUCUCUGCUUCCACGUAAUACAAGGAAAGACAUUUGAUUAGAUUAUGUGAGAUACUUUUUAAGGCAGAUGGAUUCAACACAUGGCUGCAGGACCAGGCUUUAUUAUCUCGACUAACGUGGACACAUUUUGAACACUGCUUCUCACUCUGCCAUCAGCCGCCACCACCUCUGCAGUACUGUGACAGCAAGAGAAAAAGGACAGGGAAGUGAUAAAGUUUGCACACGUAAGCAGAAAAGAACUUUCUGUCCAAAGCCAGCUGGCUUGGCUUGGCACUGAAGUGGCAUUUUAGCACAAGAUGACACGUUUAUGCGUGUACUGGAGCUAUGUUUCAAAACACUUGC
ensembl:lncRNA